GGUGCAGCAGGCGCGAAAACUUUACAAUGCUGGCAACAGCGAUAAGGGGACCUCGAGUGCCAGGAUACAAUCUUGGCUGUCGUGAUGCCUAAAAAGCAUUACAUAGCAAGGGCCGGGCAAGACCGGUGCCAGCCGCCGCGGUAACACCGGCGGCUCGAGUGGUAACCGCUAUUAUUGGGUCUAAAGGGUCUGUAGCCGGCCGGAUAAGUCUCUUGGGAAAUCCAGUAGCUCAACUGUUGGGCUUCCAGGGGAUACUGUUCGGCUCGAGGCCGGGAGAGGUGAGAGGUACUUCAGGGGUAGGGGUGAAAUCUUGUAAUCCUUGAAGGACCACCAGUGGCGAAGGCGUCUCACCAGAACGGUCCUGACGGCAAGGGACGAAAGCUAGGGGCACGAACCGGAUUAGAUACCCGGGUAGUCCUAGCCGUAAACGAUACUCGCUAGGUGUCAGCCACGGUGCGACCGUGGUUGGUGCCGUAGGGAAGCCGUGAAGCGAGCCACCUGGGAAGUACGGCCGCAAGGCUGAAACUUAAAGGAAUUGGCGGGGGAGCAC
rnacentral:rRNA from 1 species